GGACCGAGGGCCGCCGAGCGCAAGGAGGAGACUGAGGAGCAGAGAAGUAACAGCGGGUAAUGUUUCAAGGGAUGACUAAGAGAAGAUGUCAGCGGACUUGAAGAGCUGUCAGCUCCAUUAGAGGAGAUGAGCGAAGGCUGACUCUCUGCCAGAUGAGUGGAAUCCACUGCGAGCUGUGCCUGGCUCUUCUCAUUCAACAGUAUGUCUGUGAAAUUCAUCAAUCCACACGGCUACC